rnacentral:rRNA from 1 species
CCCUUAGAUGUUCUGGGCCGCACGCGCGCUACACUGAUGCAUUCAACGAGUUUCUUCCUGGUACGAGAGGAAUGGGUAACCUUUUGAAAGUGCAUCGUGAUAGGGAUAGACUAUUGCAAUUAUUGGUCUUCAACGAGGAAUUCCUAGUAGACGUAGUUCAUCAGACUGCAUCGAUUACGUCCCUGCCCUUUGUACACACCGCCCGUCGCUCCUACCGAUUGAAUGCUCAGGUGAGCCAUUCGGACUUUCAUCAUGCUGGUUUCCAGUUUUGAUGAAGGAAAGUCUUGCGAACCUUAUCAUUUAGAGGAAGGAGAAGUCGUAACA